rfam:Capsicum annuum cultivar Zunla-1 chromosome 2, whole genome shotgun sequence
UGAUGAUGGUAAGGGAAAUUUCUGAGCCUACCCUUAAACCUUUCCAAAUCUUGGUAAAGAUUUUCUCCUUCUUUCUGCUUGAAACUUAGAAUCUUACUUCUCAAAUG